rnacentral:rRNA from 1 species
UACGUAGGGUGCAAGCGUUAAUCGGAAUUACUGGGCGUAAAGCGUGCGCAGGCGGUUGUGUAAGACAGAUGUGAAAUCCCCGGGCUCAACCUGGGAACUGCAUUUGUGACUGCACAGCUGGAGUGCGGCAGAGGGGGAUGGAAUUCCGCGUGUAGCAGUGAAAUGCGUAGAGAUGUGGAGGAACACCGAUGGCGAAGGCAGCCUCCUGGGCCAACACUGACGCUCAUGCACGAAAGCGUGGGGAGCAAACAGG